UUCAACCCCCUCCCCUACUA
rnacentral:tRNA from 14 species